GAACUGCUACCAAAAUAAUCGCAUGAACUGCUAUCAAAAUCAUCGCACAAACUGCUUUCAGGCUUCGAUUUCACCGGAAUCUUUCUGAUUUGUGCUACUUCUUUUGUCGAACUGCUACCAAAAUCAUCGCAUGAACUGCUUUUGACAAAUACUACUUUCAGUCUUAUGGCACGGCAAGAAAUUUCUUCCUACAGUUUGCUACCUGCUACGGCAGAAAAUUGCUUCCGAAUGCAAUUUCUGCUACUAUUUGCUACCUGCUACGGCAAGAAAUAUCUGCUACUGUUUGAAAGAUGCAAUUUUCUGCUACUGUUUGCUACCUGCUACUGUUUGCAAUUUUGAAAGUUGUUUGCUUCAAUUUUCUGCAAAAUACACAUCAAUUGAAAGUUGUAUCAAUUUGAAAGUUGUUUGCUUUAAUUUUUUAAAAAUGCAAAUUCUGCUACUGUUUGCUACUGUUUAAGAUUUUCUGUUUGCUUUCUAUUUUAUGGUAGGAGGCAGAGGCAC